GAUCCUGGCUCAGGAUGAACGCUAGCUACAGGCUUAACACAUGCAAGUCGAGGGGCAGCGGGAUUGAAGCUUGCUUCAAUUGCCGGCGACCGGCGCACGGGUGAGUAACGCGUACCCAACCUUCCGUACACUCAGGGAUAGCCUUUCGAAAGGAAGAUUAAUACCUGAUGGUAUGAUGAGAUUGCAUGAUAUCAUCAUUAAAGAUUUAUCGGUGUACGAUGGGGAUGCG
rnacentral:rRNA from 1 species